GAUUCGUCACACUAUCAUUAACUGAAUCCAUAGGUUAAUGAGGCGAACCGGGGGAACUGAAACAUCUAAGUACCCCGAGGAAAAGAAAUCAACCGAGAUUCCCCCAGUAGCGGCGAGCGAACGGGGAGGAGCCCAGAGCCUGAAUCAGCAUGUGUGUUAGUGGAAGCGUCUGGAAAGGCGCGCGAUACAGGGUGACAGCCCCGUACACAAAAGCGCAUGUGCUGUGAGCUCGAUGAGUAGGGCGGGACACGUGGUAUCCUGUCUGAAUAUGGGGGGACCAUCCUCCAAGGCUAAAUACUCCUGACUGACCGAUAGUGAACCAGUACCGUGAGGGAAAGGCGAAAAGAACCCCGGCGAGGGGAGUGAAAAAGAACCUGAAACCGUGUACGUACAAGCAGUGGGAGCACAGGUUUACCUGUGUGACUGCGUACCUUUUGUAUAAUGGGUCAGCGACUUAUAUUCUGUAGCAAGGUUAACCGUAUAGGGGAGCCGUAGGGAAACCGAGUCUUAACCGGGCGUUAAGUUGCAGGGUAUAGACCCGAAACCCGGUGAUCUAGCCAUGGGCAGGUUGAAGGUUGGGUAACACUAACUGGAGGACCGAACCGACUAAUGUUGAAAAAUUAGCGGAUGACCUGUGGCUGGGGGUGAAAGGCCAAUCAAACCGGGAGAUAGCUGGUUCUCCCCGAAAGCUAUUUAGGUAGCGCCUCGUGAAUUCAUCUCCGGGGGUAGAGCACUGUUUCGGCUAGGGGGCCAUCCCGGCUUACCAACCCGAUGCAAACUGCGAAUACCGGAGAAUGUUAUCACGGGAGACACACGGCGGGUGCUAACGUCCGUCGUGAAGAGGGAAACAACCCAGACCGCCAGCUAAGGUCCCAAAGUCAUGGUUAAGUGGGAAACGAUGUGGGAAGGCCCAGACAGCCAGGAUGUUGGCUUAGAAGCAGCCAUCAUUUAAAGAAAGCGUAAUAGCUCACUGGUCGAGUCGGCCUGCGCGGAAGAUGUAACGGGGCUAAACCAUGCACCGAAGCUGCGGCAGCGAACGUAUCACCCAAGACAACUUUACGGAGUUGACGAUUGACGGAGCGAAGCGACGUCAAAGCGUUCAUUAAAGUCGAGUUGGCUUAGGGAUACGUUCGUUGGGUAGGGGAGCGUUCUGUAAGCCUGUGAAGGUGUGUCGUGAGGCAUGCUGGAGGUAUCAGAAGUGCGAAUGCUGACAUAAGUAACGAUAAAGCGGGUGAAAAGCCCGCUCGCCGGAAGACCAAGGGUUCCUGUCCAACGUUAAUCGGGGCAGGGUGAGUCGACCCCUAAGGCGAGGCCGAAAGGCGUAGUCGAUGGGAAACGGGUUAAUAUUCCCGUACUUGGUGUUACUGCGAAGGGGGGACGGAGAAGGCUAUGUUGGCCGGGCGACGGUUG
rnacentral:rRNA from 1 species